rnacentral:rRNA from 1 species
UACGGAAGGGGCUAGCGUUGCUCGGAAUCACUGGGCGUAAAGCGCACGUAGGCGGCUUUCUAAGUCAGGGGUGAAAUCCUGGAGCUCAACUCCAGAACUGCCUUUGAUACUGGAGAGCUUGAGUCCGGAAGAGGUGAGUGGAACUCCGAGUGUAGAGGUGAAAUUCGUAGAUAUUCGGAAGAACACCAGUGGCGAAGGUGGCUCACUGGCCCGGUACUGACGCUGAGGUGCGAAAGCGUGGGGAGCAAACAGG